rnacentral:rRNA from 1 species
ACGGAGGGGGCUAGCGUUGUUCGGAAUGACUGGGCGUAAAGCGCGCGUAGGCGGAUUGGCAAGUUGGGGGUGAAAUCCCGGGGCUCAACCUCGGAAUGGCCUUCAAGACUGCUGGUCUUGAGUUCGAGAGAGGUGAGUGGAAUUCCGAGUGUAGAGGUGAAAUUCGUAGAUAUUCGGAGGAACACCAGUGGCGAAGGCGGCUCACUGGCUCGACACUGACGCUGAGGUGCGAAAGCGUGGGGAGCAAACAGGA